GGCUGGAUAGCUCAGUUGGUUCGAGCAUGGUGCUGAUAAUGCCAAGGUUGCAGGUUUGAUCCCCAUAUGGGACA
rnacentral:tRNA from 1 species